UACGUAGGGGGCAAGCGUUGUCCGGAAUCAUUGGGCGUAAAGAGCGUGUAGGCGGUUCGGUAAGUCUGCUGUGAAAGUCCAGGGCUCAACCCUGGGAUGCCGGUGGAUACUGCUGAACUCGAGUCCGGAAGAGGAGUGUGGAAUUCCUGGUGUAGCGGUGAAAUGCGCAGAUAUCAGGAGGAACACCGAUGGCGAAGGCAGCACUCUGGGACGUGACUGACGCUGAGACGCGAAAGCGUGGGAGCAAACAGG
rnacentral:rRNA from 1 species